CUUCAAUUUGUGGAUCCAAAAAGCCUCCCUGCAGAGGAGUAACUUCUUGAUGUCAGUGUUAAUUGGAGUCUGUAGUUUUUCUAAGGAGGAAUCACUCUGAGUUUGCUGUGGUGUAGACUAAACCCCCAGCCAAUCCCGACACUGAUCCUGAUUGGCCUUCAUUCCAGCUAAUCAGGGGAGGGAGCAGGAGUUGUCUUUCAGUACAACUCUAUGGUAACUUCCAGGGGAAGAAUGCCACAGAAUCACCUGGAGGACCUAGCAUAUUCCUAGCAUAUGCUACAACGGCAAGAAUGGUCUUCGCGAAAAAAUGGAAGUUGGACACAAUACCUGAUACGAAGACAUGGAUACUUAAAGUUAUGGAGAUUAAGGACAUGGAUAAACUAACAUUUCUUUAAAGGAGAAUACUGGUAAAGGCCUAAAAAUGACAGAUUGGUCUCCCUUUGAAGAAUAUUUGGAGACGAGAUCAGGACUUAAAAAGGGAAAUAAAUAAUUUUCACAUAUUUUUUCUUUUUUUUAUGCUAUGGAACUAAAACGGAAGAAAGAAGGACGGAAGUUACAAACUUUAUCCUUAACCAUCCCUUACCCCACCCCACCCUACCUUCCCAUGAACAUACUUUCCUUACACCUUUCCCUUCCCCUCCCCACAUUUUUUAAUUAUUGUUUCUAAUUUUUAUUCACUUCUUAAUAAAAAUUAUUUUAU